ensembl:snRNA U6 U6 spliceosomal RNA
GUGCUCGCUUUGGCAUCACAUAUACUAAAAUUGGAAUAAUACAGAGAACAUGAGCAAGGCCCCUGCACAACGAUGACACCCAAUUUGGAGGAGUGCCAAAGAUGGGA